GUGGUAAUGCCGGAUGCUCCGACAUGACGCAUGUCGUGUCGGGAAAGAUUCAUCGGUAUGGGAUGGGGUCGCGUCCUAUCAGCUUGAUGGCGGGGUAACGGCCCACCAUGGCUUCGACGGGUAGCCGGCCUGAGAGGGCGACCGGCCACAUUGGGACUGAGAUACGGCCCAGACUCCUACGGGAGGCAGCAGUGGGGAAUAUUGCACAAUGGGCGCAAGCCUGAUGCAGCGACGCCGCGUGCGGGAUGACGGCCUUCGGGUUGUAAACCGCUUUUGACUGGGAGCAAGCCCUUCGGGGUGAGUGUACCUUUCGAAUAAGCACCGGCUAACUACGUGCCAGCAGCCGCGGUAAUACGUAGGGUGCAAGCGUUAUCCGGAAUUAUUGGGCGUAAAGGGCUCGUAGGCGGUUCGUCGCGUCCGGUGUGAAAGUCCAUCGCUUAACGGUGGAUCCGCGCCGGGUACGGGCGGGCUUGAGUGCGGUAGGGGAGACUGGAAUUCCCGGUGUAACGGUGGAAUGUGUAGAUAU
rnacentral:rRNA from 1 species